UACGUAGGCAGCGAGCGUUGUUCGGAUUUACUGGGCGUAAAGGGCGCGUAGGCGGCAAUUCAAGUCAUCUGUGAAAUCUCCGGGCUUAACCCGGAACGGUCAGAUGAUACUGCUUUGCUAGAGUGCGGAAGGGGCAAUCGGAAUUCUUGGUGUAGCGGUGAAAUGCGUAGAUAUCAAGAGGAACACCUGAGGUGAAGACGGGUUGCUGGGCCGACACUGACGCUGACAGCGCGAAAGCCAGGGGAGCAAACGGG
rnacentral:rRNA from 1 species